rnacentral:rRNA from 1 species
UACGGAGGGUGCGAGCGUUGUCCGGAAUUAUUGGGCGUAAAGAGCUCGUAGGCGGUUUGUCGCGUCUGCUGUGAAAACCCGAGGCUCAACCUCGGGCCUGCAGUGGGUACGGGCAGACUAGAGUGCGGUAGGGGAGAUUGGAAUUCCUGGUGUAGCGGUGGAAUGCGCAGAUAUCAGGAGGAACACCAAUGGCGAAGGCAGAUCUCUGGGCCUUACCUGACGCUGAGGAGCGAAAGCGUGGGGAGCGAACAGG